rnacentral:rRNA from 1 species
UACGUAGGGUGCGAGCGUUAAUCGGAAUUACUGGGCGUAAAGGGUGCGCAGGCGGCGUCGCAAGUCAGGCGUGAAAUCCCCGGGCUUAACCUGGGAACUGCACUUGAAACUACGAUGCUGGAGUAUGGCAGAGGGAGGUGGAAUUCCACGUGUAGCGGUGAAAUGCGUAGAGAUGUGGAGGAACACCGAUGGCGAAGGCAGCCCCCUGGGUCAACACUGACGCUCAUGCACGAAAGCGUGGGGAGCAAACAGG